rnacentral:lncRNA from 13 species
GGAGACCUGGUUUAUUCUCCAACUCUUGAGCGUAGUGAUAUAGAAAUGCAGAUCAGCCAUCUGAAGUAUGUUCCUGCUGCCAACUCUCUCUGCUGCCAACUCUCUCUCUCCGGACACUCUGUGGAAGGCAUCACCACUGCUUACAUAACUGGCCUGAUCAUUCCAUUUGUGUGUGUUUUUGUUUUCAGGGAGGUCAUUGUGUGUGUUUUGUUAAACCGAGAGGUCAUAAGAGAACUGUCUAAGUAUGUAUGUUGAUAAUGUAACAUUGUGUUGUAUGUUUCAGAAGGCCACUCCUCUAGCUGAGACCCCACAGGGAACAACAGCCUCCUCCCUAGACUUACUAGUGGACCCAGCUCUGGUCAUCAAAGACAGGCUGGUUAGUAUGCAGACACACACAACCCGGUCACAGAAUGCUCAGUAGAGUAUGGUCAAAGACCGACCGGUCCAGUAUCUUCUCCAGGAUGACCUGUGGUGUUGGUAAAGAAAGUCCUCAUUUCUGGUGUGUGUUUCUGUUCCUCCAGGUGGAAGAGGUUAGAGACCAGGCUGCCAUUGUCUCAGACAAACCUCCCAUCCCUGCCCAGAUUGUUCAGGCCGAAGAAGCAAAGGCGUCCCAGAAGAGCAAGAUAAGUGUCAACGGAGUGUGA